ensembl:processed_transcript Gm11629 predicted gene 11629
CCUCCCUUUCUGUCCCAAACUACUCUCUCAGCUGGUCUCCCUGAGCGACUCUAGCUUGGGCCACCGGAACUUCCCGGUCCCUGUGAUCCUGGGACCUGCCUUUAACUCCUUUCUCCCCAGUGUCAGGCCCAGGCCGCCAUGAAACUAGCUGAGUAGACCUCCCUCUCCAACCGGGCUCUAGGUCUGCUGGCCCCAGCCGGGCCUGGAUGAUGGGCUAAUCUAGAAACCUUUCACAGACCGCUAGCCCUCCGCGAAGACCAGGCCGUCCAGGCCAAACCCUCCUCACGCCGCCUGCGCGACUUAGCGUGACUUCCGGCUACCCAGAGGACCACGUGACCAAACGCCCUCACUGCGCAUGUGCGCCGCGGAGUCGGACUGAACCAU